UGGGGAAUAUUGGACAAUGGGCGAAAGCCUGAUCCAGCCAUGCCGCGUGUGUGAAGAAGGUCUUCGGAUUGUAAAGCACUUUAAGCUGGGAGGAAGGGCAGUUACCUAAUACGUGAUUGUUUUGACGUUACCGACAGAAUAAGCACCGGCUAACUCUGUGCCAGCAGCCGCGGUAAUACAGAGGGUGCAAGCGUUAAUCGGAAUUACUGGGCGUAAAGCGCGCGUAGGUGGUUUGUUAAGUUGGAUGUGAAAUCCCCGGGCUCAACCUGGGAACUGCAUUCAAAACUGACUGACUAGAGUAUGGUAGAGGGUGGUGGAAUUUCCUGUGUAGCGGUGAAAUGCGUAGAUAUAGGAAGGAACACCAGUGGCGAAGGCGACCACCUGGACUAAUACUGACACUGAGGUGCGAAAGCGUGGGGAGCAAACA
rnacentral:rRNA from 1 species